rnacentral:rRNA from 1 species
GACGAACGCUGGCGGCGUGCCUAAUACAUGCAAGUUGAGCGAUGAAGAUUGGUGCUUGCACCAAUUUGAAGAGCAGCGAACGGGUGAGUAACGCGUGGGGAAUCUGCCUUUGAGCGGGGGACAACAUUUGGAAACGAAUGCUAAUACCGCAUAACAACUUUAAACAUAAGUUUUAAGUUUGAAAGAUGCAAUUGCAUCACUCAAAGAUGAUCCCGCGUUGUAUUAGCUAGUUGGUGAGGUAAAGGCUCACCAAGGCGAUGAUACAUAGCCGACCUGAGAGGGUGAUCGGCCAAAUUGGGACUGAGACAAGGCCCAAAAUCCUACGGGAGGCAGCAGUAGGGAAUCUUCGGAAAUAGACGAAAGUCUGACCGAGCAACGCCGCGUGAGUGAAGAAGGGUCUCGGAUCGUAAAACUCUGUUGGUAGAGAAGAACGUUGGUGAGAGUGGAAAGCUCAUCAAGUGACGGUAACUACACAGAAAGGGACGGCUAACUACGUG